rnacentral:rRNA from 1 species
CAGCCGCCGCGGUAAUACGUAGGGGGCGAGCGUUGUCCGGAAUUAUUGGGCGUAAAGCGCGCGCAGGCGGUCCUUUAAGUCUGAUGUGAAAGCCCACGGCUCAACCGUGGAGGGUCAUUGGAAACUGGGGGACUUGAGUGCAGGAGAGGAGAGCGGAAUUCCACGUGUAGCGGUGAAAUGCGUCGAGAUGUGGAGGAACACCAGUGGCGAAGGCGGCUCUCUGGCCUGUAACUGACGCUGAGGCGCGAAAGCGUGGGGAGCAAACAGGAUUAGAUACCCUGGUAGUCCACGCUGUAAACGAUGAGUGCUAAGUGUUAGAGGGGUCACACCCUUUAGUGCUGCAGCUAACGCGAUAAGCACUCCGCCUGGGGAGUACGGCCGCAAGGCUGAAACUUAAAGGAAUUGGCGGG